GAAUGCUGAGGAGGAACUGGCAAGUGGUCCUCUAAAGUCCAACCAACUCCGUUUUUUAAGAAGAAGCUCCGUUUUGUACGAGGCCUGACUCCAACUCCAGGAUGAAAACCACGAAGCCCACUUGAGCAAGCAUCAUAUGACAACUACCCCGUCCCCUGGACCACACCCCUAGCAACGGCCAGUCAGGCUAUACAGGCAGGACCAAGGAGGCAGCUGAGGGUGGGGGUCGGGGGACAUUCUCUGGGACUUGUUACUGAACAAAGAAAGAAGGCACAUGCCACAAAGAUAACUUCAAAUCUGCGCUUCAGAUCCUGCUACUGAGCUGACAAGUGCUGGGACAAGUCUGACCCAUUCUUCCUAGAAGGAGACACAGAGGAGACAGGGUCCGUACCAGAAGAAGAAGAAAGGGCGUCCCUUGAAAAGCAUGUCUGUGGAGUUUAGUUUAAAAAGAUCAGACUUUUCUGGUUCUAAAACGUAGAGGUCAUAUUAAAAAUUAAAAAG
rnacentral:lncRNA from 1 species